ACCGAUACCACGCUUCCAGGAAAAGCCACUAAGCUUCAGUUUGAAUCGAACCGUACCGCAAACCGACACAGGUUGGCAGGAUGAGAAUCCUAAGGCGCUUGAGAAAACUCAGGAGAAGGAACUCGGCAAAUUGAUACCGUAACUUCSGGAGAAGGUAUGCCCUCUAAGGUUAMGGACUUGCUCCGUAAGCCCCGGAGGGUCGCAGAGAAUAGGUGGCUGCGACUGUUUAUUAAAAACACAGCACUCUGCUAACACGAAAGUGGACGUAUAGGGUGCGACGCCUGCCCGGUGCUGGAAGGUUAAUUGAAGAUGUGAGAGCAUCGGAUCGAAGCCCCAGUAAACGGCGGCCGUAACUAUAACGGUCCUAAGGUAGCGAAAUUCCUUGUCGGGUAAGUUCCGACCCGCACGAAUGGCGUAACGAUGGCCACACUGUCUCCUCCUGAGACUCAGCGAAGUUGAAGUGGUUGUGAAGAUGCAAUCUACCCGCUGCUAGACGGAAAGACCCCGUGAACCUUUACUGUAGCUUUGCAUUGGACUUUGAAGUCACUUGUGUAGGAUAGGUGGGAGGCUUAGAAGCAGAGACGCCAGUCUCUGCGGAGCCGUCCUUGAAAUACCACCCUGGUGUCUUUGAGGUUCUAACCCAGACCCGUCAUCCGGGUCGGGGACCGUGCAUGGUAGGCAGUUUGACUGGGGCGGUCUCCUCCCAAAGCGUAACGGAGGAGUUCGAAGGUUACCUAGGUCCGGUCGGAAAUCGGACUGAUAGUGCAAUGGCAAAAGGUAGCUUAACUGCGAGACCGACAAGUCGAGCAGGUGCGAAAGCAGGACAUAGUGAUCCGGUGGUUCUGUAUGGAAGGGCCAUCGCUCAACGGAUAAAAGGUACUCCGGGGAUAACAGGCUGAUUCCGCCCAAGAGUUCAUAUCGACGGCGGAGUUUGGCACCUCGAUGUCGGCUCAUCACAUCCUGGGGCUGUAGUCGGUCCCAAGGGUAUGGCUGUUCGCCAUUUAAAGUGGUACGUGAGCUGGGUUUAAAACGUCGUGAGACAGUUUGGUCCCUAUCUGCAGUGGGCGUUGGAAGUUUGACGGGGGCUGCUCCUAGUACGAGAGGACCGGAGUGGACGAACCUCUGGUGUACCGGUUGUAACGCCAGUUGCAUAGCCGGGUAGCUAAGUUCGGAAGAGAUAAGCGCUGAAAGCAUCUAAGCGCGAAACUCGCCUGAAGAUGAGACUUCCCUUGCGGUUUAACCGCACUAAAGAGUCGUUCGAGACCAGGRCGUUGAUAGGUGGGGUGUGGAAGCGCGGUAACGCGUGAAGCUAACCCAUACUAAUUGCUCGUGAGGCUUGACUCUAU
rnacentral:rRNA from 1 species